rnacentral:lncRNA from 1 species
CUGACAUUAGGCGCUGCAGAAAAAGGAUUCAUCUGGAUUACUUCAUUUUAUUUAUCUUUCAAUGCAAAUUUACAGAAAACUCUCAGAGACAUCUUGACUUUUUUGGUCUUCAAUGAUUACUCUUAAAUCAGUCCUCAAAUAUUUGUAAUAAUCUUUUGAUGAAACUUGCUCAUAGUGUUUGAUGACUGUUGUUUGAUGUUUGGUAUUUGUAUUGUGUUUUGUUUUGUUUUUAGGUAUGGAUCAAACAAGAACCAAGAGUUGAAAAGUCAAUCUCCAGUAAGCAGGGCUAAGGCAUUCACCUGGGCCUGGAACACACUGGAGGAAUGGAACAAAACAGGAGCAGGUCUCAUCUUGUGCAGGGAGAGGCUGGCACACCCUUUACACACACACACAAUAAACAGAUACAUGGAGUGAACUGGCUCUUGCACCCUCUAUAAGUAUGUCAUUCUUCUCUCCUCAGUAUUACUUCAGUGUUAUAUGUUCCAUUUUGACUCAUUUUGUGUUUUGUUUUCUGAUAAGGUUCCAAGGAGUACUCAGCUAUGAAUUGGGGCAAAGGAAAAGACUCAUAGGCUGACUGGAAUUAGCCAUGCAUUCUAUCCUUCAUUCCACCGGAGUCUGUGUCAUGAACCAUUCAGAUUUCAGUGGUGUGAAGAGUAAGAAACAUGGAGUUUAUCGUCAAUAGAAAAGAUUGGAGAAUUGGAUUCUCUACUCUGUGACUAUGGACUCAAAUCAGUAACUUGAAUUUAGCAUUGUAUUCAGCAUUGUACUGCAGACAUUAGGAGUAUUUUUUACAUAGAUCAGUAAAGAAUCAAAGCUUGACGGAGAGGUGCAAACAUGAAUAAAGUGUUACUACCUUCAUUAGAUUUCAUUUAUAUUUCUGUUUAUCAUUUGGUGUAUGACACAGUUGCAAUCUCUACAAGAACAUGGUGGGUCAGAUUCUUGGUCAUUAGUAUUCGCCAUUCAUGACCAUUUCUGUGACCUAUGACCUACCAGGUCAUAGGUCAGUACAGGUUCAUCAAAGCUGGGCCCGAGAGACUGAAAAACAGCUUCUAUUUCAAAGCGAUCAGACUGUUAAAUAGCCAUCACUAUCCGGCUUCCACCCGGUUACGCAACCCUGCACCUUAGAGGCUGCUGCCCUGUAUACAUAGACAGACUGGCCACUUUAAUAGUGGAACACUAGUCACUUUAAUAAUGUUUACAUAUUGCUUUACUCAUCUCAUAUGUAUAGACUGUAUUUUAUUCUACUGUAUUUUAGUCAAUGCCACUCCGACAUUGCUCAAUCUAAUAUUUAUAUCUUUCUUAAUUCCAUUAUUUUACUUCUAGAUGUGUGUAUUGUUGUGAAUUGUUAGAUACUACUGCACUGUUGGAGCUAGGAACACAAGCAUUUCGCAACACCCACAAUAACAUCUGCUAAAUAUGUGUAUGUGACCAAUACAAUUUCAUUUGAUUUGAUUUUUGAUUUGCCAUGCAGUACCUCUACUGAUAUAAUGCAUCUAAAAAACAAGUUGCAUCUAAAAUGAAAAUAUAUGUGGCCAGGCACAUAAUACAAAGCCCUUUAAGAAUACUAAAAAUGUUUGUAAUUGCCAUAUGAAAACUAAUGACUCCCUCUUUGUACAUAAAUGAGGUUGUGAAAUCACAA